UACGAAGGGGGCUAGCGUUGUUCGGAAUUACUGGGCGUAAAGCGCGCGCAGGCGGUUCUUCAAGUCAGAGGUGAAAGCCCAGAGCUCAACUCUGGAAUGGCCUUUGAGACUAGAGAACUAGGGUACGGGAGAGGUGAGUGGAAUUCCGAGUGUAGAGGUGAAAUUCGUAGAUAUUCGGAAGAACACCAGUGGCGAAGGCGGCUCACUGGCCCGUUAACGACGCUCAGGCGCGACAGCGUGGGGAGCAAACAGG
rnacentral:rRNA from 1 species